CACCGACAACGGGUGGAGCUUGCGGUUUAAUUGGAUUCAACGCCGGAAAUCUUACCGGGACCGACAGCAAUAUGAAGGCCAGGCUGAAGACUUUGCCGGAUUAGCUGAGAGGUGGUGCAUGGCCGUCGUCAGUUCGUACUGUGAAGCAUCCUGUUAAGUCAGGCAACGAGCGAGACCCACGCCCACAGUUGCCAGCGUACUCUCUGGAGUGACGGGUACACUGUGGGGACCGCCGCUGCUAAAGCGGAGGAAGGAAUGGGCAACGGUAGGUCAGUAUGCCCCGAAUAUCCCGGGCUACACGCGAGCUACAAUGGUUGGUACAAUGGGUAUCUACCCCGAAAGGGGACGGGAAUCUCCUAAAACCAAUCUUAGUUCGGAUUGAGGGCUGCAACUCGCCCUCAUGAAGCUGGAAUCCGUAGUAAUCGCGUUUCAACAGAACGCGGUGAAUACGUCCCUGCUCCUU
rnacentral:rRNA from 1 species